rnacentral:rRNA from 1 species
UGAGGAAUAUUGGUCAAUGGAGGCAACUCUGAACCAGCCAUGCCGCGUGCAGGAUGACGGUCCUAUGGAUUGUAAACUGCUUUUGUACAGGAAGAAACCUCCCUACGAGUAGGGACUUGACGGUACUGUAAGAAUAAGGAUCGGCUAACUCCGUGCCAGCAGCCGCGGUAAUACGGAGGAUCCGAGCGUUAUCCGGAAUUAUUGGGUUUAAAGGGUUCGUAGGCGGCUUUGUAAGUCAGUGGUGAAAUUUCCUAGCUUAACUAGGACACUGCCAUUGAUACUGCAGAGCUUGAAUAAUAUGGAAGUAACUAGAAUAUGUAGUGUAGCGGUGAAAUGCUUAGAUAUUACAUGGAAUACCAAUUGCGAAGGCAGGUUACUACGUAUUUAUUGACGCUGAUGAACGAAAGCGUGGGGAGCGAACAGG